GCCUUCUUAGUUCAGUGGUUAGAAUUUUUCACUAGUAGUGUUCGCAAGAACUUGCUGUGGUAUGAAAGGGUCACCCGUUCAAUUCGGGUAGAAGGCA
rnacentral:tRNA from 1 species